rnacentral:rRNA from 1 species
AGUGAACGCUGGCGGCAGGCCUAACACAUGCAAGUCGAACGGCAGCACAGUAAGAGCUUGCUCUUACGGGUGGCGAGUGGCGGACGGGUGAGGAAUACAUCGGAAUCUACUUUUUCGUGGGGGAUAACGUAGGGAAACUUACGCUAAUACCGCAUACGACCUACGGGUGAAAGCAGGGGAUCUUCGGACCUUGCGCGAUUGAAUGAGCCGAUGUCGGAUUAGCUAGUUGGCGGGGUAAAGGCCCACCAAGGCGACGAUCCGUAGCUGGUCUGAGAGGAUGAUCGGCCACACUGGAACUGAGACACGGUCCAGACUCCUACGGGAGGCAGCAGUGGGGAAUAUUGGACAAUGGGCGCAAGCCUGAUCCAGCCAUACCGCGUGGGUGAAGAAGGCCUUCGGGUUGUAAAGCCCUUUUGUUGGGAAAGAAAAGCAGCAGGUUAAUACCCCGCUGUUCUGACGGUACCCAAAGAAUAAGCACCGGCUAACUUCGUG